UACGUAGGGGGCAAGCGUUGUCCGGAUUCAUUGGGCGUAAAGAGCGUGUAGGCGGCCAGGUAGGUCGGUUGUGAAAACUGGAGGCUCAACCUUCAGAGGUCGACCGAAACCAUCUGGCUAGAGUCCGGGAGAGGAGAGUGGAAUUCCUGGUGUAGCGGUGAAAUGCGCAGAUAUCAGGAGGAACACCGGUGGCGAAGGCGGCAUCCUGGACCGGCAUUGACGCUGAGGCGCGAAAGCCAAGGGAGCAAACGGG
rnacentral:rRNA from 1 species